rnacentral:rRNA from 1 species
CCUACGGGUGGCAGCAGUGAGGAAUAUUGGUCAAUGGGCGCAAGCCUGAACCAGCCAAGUCGCGUGAGGGAUGACGGUCCUAUGGAUUGUAAACCUCUUUUGUCGGGGAGCAAGGCCCGCCACGUGUGGCGGGAAGGAGAGUACCCGAAGAAAAAGCAUCGGCUAACUCCGUGCCAGCAGCCGCGGUAAUACGGAGGAUCCGAGCGUUCUCCGGAUUUAUUGGGUUUAAAGGGGGAGUAGAUGGGUUUUUAAGUCAGGUGUGAAAGUUUGCGGGUCAACCGUAAAAUUGCAGUGGAUACUGGCAGCCUUGAGUACAGUAGAGGUAGGCGGAAUUCGUGGUGUAGCGGUGAAAUGCUUAGAUAUCACGAAGAACUCCGAUUGCGAAGGCAGCCUACUAGCCUGCCACUGACAUUGAGGCUCGAAAGUGUGGGUAUCAAACAGGAUUAGAUACCCGUGUAGUC